UCGGAUCGCAGGCUGCAACCCGCCUGCGUGAAGUUGGAAUCGCUAGUAAUCGCGGAUCAGCAUGCCGCGGUGAAUACGUUCCCGGGCCUUGUACACACCGCCCGUCACACCAUGAGAGUCGGGAACACCCGAAGUCCGUAGCCUAACAGCAAUGGGGGCGCGGCCGAAGGUGGGUUCGAUAAUUGGGGUGAAGUCGUAACAAGGUACC
rnacentral:rRNA from 1 species